rnacentral:rRNA from 1 species
GGCGUCCGAGUUGUAAUUUGUAGAGGAUGCUAUUGGGUUGCCACCGGUCUAAGUUCCUUGGAACAGGACGUCACAGAGGGUGAGAAUCCCGUAUGUGACCGGCCAGGCGCCUUCUGUAUAGCUCCUUCGACGAGUCGGGUUGUUUGGGAAUGCAGCCCUAAAUGGGAGGUAAAUUUCUUCUAAAGCUAAAUACCGGCCAGAGACCGAUAGCGCACAAGUAGAGUGAUCGAAAGAUGAAAAGCACUUUGGAAAGAGAGUUAAAAAGCACGUGAAAUUGUUGAAAGGGAAGCGCUUGCAAUCAGUCUCGACGGCGGCUGUUCGGCCUCUCUUCUGAGUGGUUUAUUCAGUCGCCGCCGGGCCAGCAUCAGUUUUGGCGGUCGGAUAAAGGCGUGGGGAAUGUAGCUCCUCUGGGAGUGUUAUAGCCCCGCGUGCAAUACGGCCCGCCGGGACUGAGGUCCGCGCUUCGGCUAGGAUGCUGGCGAAAUGGUUGUAAGCGGCCCGUCUUGAAACACGGACCAAGGAGUCUAACAUCUACGCGAGUGUUUGGGUGUCAAACCCGUGCGCGCAAUGAAAGUGAACGGAGGUGGGAACCGCAAGGUGCACCAUCGACCGAUCCUGAUGUCUUCGGAUGGAUUUGAGUAAGAGCGUAGCUGUUGGGACCCGAAAGAUGGUGAACUAUGCCUGAAUAGGGUGAAGCCAGAGGAAACUCUGGUGGAGGCUCGCAGCGGUUCUGACG